UACGGAGGGGGCGAGCGUUGUCCGAAGUUACUGGGCGUAAAGCGCGCGUAGGCGGGUGGGUAAGUCCGCUGUGAAAGCCCGGAGCUUAACUCCGGAGGGUCGGUGGAUACUGCCCAUCUUGAAGGUGCUAGGGGGAGAUGGAAUUACCGGUGUAGCGGUGAAAAUGCGUAGAGAUCGGUAGGAACACCAGUGGCGAAGGCGGUCUCCUGGAGCAUACUUGACGUGAGGCGCGAAAGCUGGGGGGAGCGAAACGGGG
rnacentral:rRNA from 1 species